UCGUAACAAGGUUUCCGUAGGUGAACCUGCGGAAGGAUCAUUACUGAGUGAGGGUCCCUCGGGGCCCAACCUCCCACCCGUGUAUACCGUACCUUGUUGCUUCGGCGGGCCCGCCGCGCAAGCGGCCGCCGGGGGGGGCGUCAAACCCCCCUCCCUAGGCGAGCGCCCGCCGGAGACACCAACGUGAACACUGUCUGAAGUUUUGUUGUCUGAGUUCGAUUGUAUCGCAAUCAGUUAAAACUUUCAACAAUGGAUCUCUUGGUUCCGGCAUCGAUGAAGAACGCAGCGAAAUGCGAUAAUUAAUGUGAAUUGCAGAAUUCAGUGAAUCAUCGAGUCUUUGAACGCACAUUGCACCCCCUGGUAUUCCGGGGGGUAUGCCUGUCCGAGCGUCAUUGCUGCCCUCAAGCACGGCUUGUGUGUUGGGUCGUCGUCCCCCCUCCCGGGGGGGACGGGCCCGAAAGGCAGCGGCGGCACCGCGUCCGGUCCUCGAGCGUAUGGGGCUUUGUCACCCGCUCUUGUAGGCCCGGCCGGCGCUGGCCGACGCUGAAAAGCAACCAACUAUUUCUCCAGGUUGACCUCGGAUCAGGUAGGGAUACCCGCUGAACUUAAGCAUAUCAAUAAGCGGAGGAAAAGAAACCAACCGGGAUUGCCUCAGUAACGGCGAGUGAAGCGGCAAGAGCUCAAAUUUGAAAUCUGG
rnacentral:misc_RNA from 1 species